rnacentral:rRNA from 1 species
CCUACGGGUGGCUGCAGUGGGGAAUUUUCCGCAAUGGGCGAAAGCCUGACGGAGCAAUACCGCGUGAGGGAUGAAUGCCUAUGGGUUGUAAACCUCUUUUUUCAGGGAGGAACAAAAUGACGUGUACCUGAAGAAUAAGCAUCGGCUAACUCCGUGCCAGCAGCCGCGGUAAGACGGAGGAUGCAAGUGUUAUCCGGAAUCACUGGGCGUAAAGCGUCUGUAGGUGGUUUAAUAAGUCAACUGUUAAAUCUUGAGGCUCAACCUCGAAAUCGCAGUCGAAACUAUUAGACUAGAGUAUAGUAGGGGUAAAGGGAAUUUCCAGUGGAGCGGUGAAAUGCGUAGAGAUUGGAAAGAACACCGAUGGCGAAGGCACUUUACUGGGCUAUUACUAACACUCAGAGACGAAAGCUAGGGUAGCAAAUGGGAUUAGAUACCCCGGUAGUC